GACAGAGGUGCCGAGCGUUAGGCGGAAUCACUGGGCUUAAAGCGUGUGUAGGCGGAUACCUAAGUACCUUGUGAAAUCCCACGGCUCAACCGUGGAACUGCUUGGUAUACUGGGCGUCUUGAGCCACUUAGGGGCAAGCGGAACAAAUGGUGGAGCGGUGAAAUGCGUAGAUAUCAUUUGGAACGCCAAUGGUGAAAACAGCUUGCUGGGAGUGAUGCUGACGCUGAGACACGAAAGCCAGGGGAGCGAACGGG
rnacentral:rRNA from 1 species